rnacentral:rRNA from 1 species
CCCCGCAAGGGGGAGCGGCGGACGGGUGAGUAACGCGUGGGAAUUUUCCUCAAGGUACGGAACAACUCAGGGAAACUUGGACUAAUACCGUAUGAUGUCUAGCGACCAAAGAUUUAUCGCCUUGGGAUAAGCCCGCGUCAGAUUAGGUAGUUGGUGGGGUAACGGCCUACCAAGCCUGCGAUCUGUAGCUGGUCUGAGAGGACGAUCAGCCACACUGGGACUGAGACACGGCCCAGACUCCUACGGGAGGCAGCAGUGGGGAAUCUUGCGCAAUGGGCGAAAGCCUGACGCAGCCAUGCCGCGUGAAUGAUGAAGGUCUUAGGAUUGUAAAGUUCUUUCGCCCGUGACGAUGAUGACGGUAACGGGAGAAGAAGCCCCGGCUAACUUCGUGCCAGCAGCCGCGGUAAUACGAAGGGGGCUAGCGUUGUUCGGAAUUACUGGGCGUAAAGCGCGCGUAGGCGGUUUUGCAAGCCAGAGGUGAAAUGCCUGAGCUCAACUUAGGAAUUGCCUUUGGGACUGCGAGGCUUUGAGGACUGGAGAGGUGAGUGGAAUUCCCAGUGUAGAGGUGAAAUUCGUAGAUAUUGGGAAGAACACCAGUGGCGAAGGCGGCUCACUGGCCAGUUUCUGACGCUGCAGCGCGAAAGCGUGGGGAUCAAACAGGAUUAGAUACCCUGGUAGUCCACGCUGUAAACGAUGAGUGCUAGGCGUCGGCACGCUUGCGUGUCGGUGCCGCAGCUAACGCGUGAAGCACUCCGCCUGGGGAGUACGGUCGCAAGAUUAAAACUC